UUUAAGUGUAAUUAUGAGAUUUUGUGUCUAACAUUAGACCGUCUGUCUUAUAUAAAAAAUAUGAUUUUUUUUAAAAAAAAGUCACGCAUAAAGUAUGUUUUAUCUAUAAUAAAAAUAAAAGUAUUAAUCAUAAAAAAAUUAAAUAAGAUAGAUGGUUAAACUUCGUUGGACAAAGAAACACACUACUGCAUUUAUU
rnacentral:pre_miRNA from 1 species